GUGCCAGCCGCCGCGGUAAUACGUAGGGGGCAAGCGUUGUUCGGAUUCACUGGGCGUAAAGCGUGCGUAGGCGGUUUGGAAAGUCCGGCGUGAAAACUGCACUGCUCAACAGGCAGAAGCCGUCGGAAACUUCCAGGCUAGAGGGUGGGAGAGGAAAGUGGAAUUCCAGGUGUAGCGGUGGAAUGCGCAGAUAUCUGGAAGAACACCAGUGGCGAAGGCGGCUUUCUGGACCACUCCUGACGCUGAGGCACGAAAGCCAGGGGAGCAAACGGGAUUAGAUACCCCCGUAGUCC
rnacentral:rRNA from 1 species